UACGGAGGAUCCGAGCGUUAUCCGGAUUUAUUGGGUUUAAAGGGUCCGCAGGCGGAUUUAUAAGUCAGUGGUGAAAUCUCUCGGCUCAACCGAGAAACUGCCAUUGAUACUGUAAGUCUUGAAUUCGGUCGAAGUGGGCGGAAUAUGACAUGUAGCGGUGAAAUGCUUAGAUAUGUGAUAGAACACCGAUAGCGAAGGCAGCUCACUAGGCCUGGAUUGACGCUCAGGGACGAAAGCGUGGGGAGCAAACAGG
rnacentral:rRNA from 1 species